UACAGAGGUCUCAAGCGUUGUUCGGAUUCAUUGGGCGUAAAGGGUGCGUAGGCGGCGGGGCAAGUCGGAUGUGAAAUCUCAGGGCUCAACCCUGAAACUGCAUUCGAUACUGCCUUGCUCGAGGACUGGAGAGGAGAUUGGAAUUCACGGUGUAGCAGUGAAAUGCGUAGAUAUCGUGAGGAAGACCAGUGGCGAAGGCGGAUCUCUGGACAGUCCUGACGCUGAGGCACGAAGGCCAGGGGAGCAAACGGG
rnacentral:rRNA from 1 species